AAAUAAAUGAAUAUUCUCUUUAAAUUAUAGAAAUUAAUCUAGCCACUUGAUGGGUCUACAAUCAAUGCAAUCAGCAGGCAAUUUUAAGUAGUUGAUAGUACACAAUACACAAGUUCAGAUACUGAUUAAAAGUUAUAGAGUAUGCAAAAAUUCCAAAUAUACAUGUUUCGAUGCUUCGUUGUCAUCAUUUCCUGGCAUAUGCCCUACUUAAUUAGCGCAAAUAUCGGCGCAUGUCUGGCAUUUUGAUGUCAAGUCUAUGAGGCUAAAGCGAACUCCAGGCUGCUUCCCGCCCGCCAGCUCCCACCUGUCUAUAAUGUGCUGCCUAUCUCUCUCUCUCUCUCUCUUUGUCUCUCUGUCUUUCUCGUCAUGCAUGUGCAACAAUAUUUUUCUCACCUGAAUGUGUGACGCCUUACCUGCCCCUCCGCAAUCAUCCGCUUGGCCCAUCAUGAGCGUUGAUUGACAUUUGAACGUGACAUGAACAUGUUUUACCUAAAUUCCGCAAUUAUUUAUAGAGUCCCUCGAAACAAAUUAUGCUAAGAGAAUUUACCUACUUUUGUUGUUGUUGUAUUUUCUUUGUAUUUGUUUUAUUUUUUUAAGUAUUUUGUUGACAGCGUCAAUUAACGUGAAAACGUAUGCAAAAAAAGUGAAGAUUUUUUAUUAUUUUGACUUGAAUUUUUUUCGCAAAUAAACGAACGUCAUUAGAGCCAGGCAAAACGAGAAACUGAAAAAUCAAUUGCAUUUUGGGGCUAUUGGAAACGGUUGUGCACAACAAUUUGACAGGCAGUUUGACAUGUGGUCUGCCAGCUAAUGGCCAAAGACUUUUAAUUAGUGCAUUGAUUUUUUAGCUAUACAAACACAGAGAGAAAGAGAGCGGUGAAAAGGAAGAGGAGAGAUACAGAAAGAAAUGUAUAUUAUGUUUAGCUAAAAAUUUCAGCUUGUGAAAAUAUUUUCUUCUUUCAAUCUCGAAUGCUUCGAUUUAGAAUUCACUUUUUAAAAACAUUUUCAAGCGUAAAAUUUCGAAUUUUUCACUAGCUUUGCGACGUGCAUUUCUUUGCAUAUAUAGAGAGCUUUUUAUACUCGAUUAUCAAGUAUAUAAAAUCUAGAGAUGGUGUCCUGUAUACUGUGCGCUCGCGCCUAUGCGGAACAGUUGAAAAUUAUUGGCAACAAAUUGUAUGAAAUUAUAAAUGAGAAUAAUUUUGAUAGUACGCUAUUGAAGUCCUCGGUGUUUUUUGUUUUGGGUAUCUUGCUGACCAGAGAAUUCAUAGAGCAUAAUACAUUAAUUUAGCUGCAUCUUUGUAUUAGUUUCUUUUAAAAUUGUGUAACUGUCCAAAAUGAUUUGUGUAAAGUAAAAAUGUAAAUGUAAAAAUA